CCUACGGGGGGCAGCAGUGGGGAAUAUUGGACAAUGGGGGGAACCCUGAUCCAGCGACGCCGCGUGAGUGAAGAAGUAUUUCGGUAUGUAAAGCUCUAUCAGCAGGGAAGAAAGAAAUGACGGUACAUGACUAAGAAGCCCCGGCUAACUACGUGCCAGCAGCCGCGGUAAUACGGAGGGGGCAAGCGUUAUCCGGAUUUACUGGGUGAAAAGGGAGCGUAGACGGCGAUGCAAGUCUGAAGUGAAAGGCAGGGGCCCAACCUCCGGACUGCUUUGGAAACUGUAUGGCUGGAGUGCAGGAGAGGUAAGUGGAAUUCCUAGUGUAGCGGUGAAAUGCGUAGAUAUUAGGAGGAACACCAGUGGCGAAGGCGGCUUACUGGACUGUAACUGACGUUGAGGCUCGAAAGCGUGGGGAGCAAACAGGAUUAGAUACCCGGGUAGUC
rnacentral:rRNA from 1 species